rnacentral:rRNA from 1 species
AGUGAACGCUGGCGGCGUGCUUAACACAUGCAAGUCGAACGAGAACGGAAUAUAGCUUGCUAUAUUUGUCAGCUAAGUGGCGCACGGGUGAGUAUUGUAUAGAUAACCUGCCCUUAAGAAAGGAAUAACAGUUGGAAACGACUGCUAAUGCCCUAUAUGCCUUUAAUACAUAAGUAUGCAAGGGAAACGCUUUAGUGCUUAAGGAUGGGUCUGUAUGGUAUCAGCUUGUUGGUGAGGUAAUGGCACACCAAGGCUAUGACGCCUAACUGGUUUGAGAGGAUGAUCAGGCACACUGGAACUGAGACACGGUCCAGACUCCUACGGGAGGCAGCAGUGGGGAAUAUUGCACAAUGGACGAAAGUCUGAUGCAGCAACGCCGCGUGGAGGAUGACACAUUUCGGUGCGUAAACUCCUUUUAUAUAGGAAGAUAAUGACGGUACUAUAUGAAUAAGCACCGGCUAACUCCGUGCCAGCAGCCGCCGUAA